GCUUGCCGUUGUUUUGGUCGGUGUGCAUUCUGCGGAUGUCUCAACAAAAGUUGAGCCUGUUAACCCUCAUGUUGAGUUUGUUUGUUAUGCAGUAGACCUCACUUAAAGUUGAAAAACGUGCGCCUUGCCUCUUCAAGAAUACAACAGGUUGCAUCAGUUUAAGCCAUUAAGCGCAUCGUGCUUUGUUUGUGACGCAGGCACACAGAAUAUGCGCAUGUGUAGGCUACAGCGGCCUGGAUACUGGUUUGAAGAUGUAAUGUGACUGCUAGCUUUAAAUCACAGCACGUAAUUCCUAUUUAAAGUGCUGUUGAACGUAGGCAACGUAUGUUUCUCCCGAAAUGGUGGUGCCACCAGCUAUUCAGAAUACAAACACAAUUCCUUCUCAUUUUAACAUGGAUCCCAAUGGAAAUUAUGUCUAAAUAUUUAUUUGAGUGGUGUUAUGUUCAAAUAUGGUGUUCGAUUAUCUUAUGUGUUUCAACUAUUUAAUUCUAAUCGUCAUAUGCUGUUUUAAUGAAUUCCAACAUGACUGGAGAAUUGGAAUGCAUUUGAAAUAACUUGUUUCUAAUUUAAUUCAAUGUUUCUUUUAAAAUCUGACAUAUACCACAGGAUUUUUGCACUCUGACAAGAUUGUAGCAGCAAACGCAUUGUGCGGUGAUCAUGCUGAAUUUCUGACACUGUCAGAAAACUAUUGUAGGCUAUCUUGGACGCAAGACCAGGAAAACGUCCGUCUUUGAACUUCUCCCACCAUACGACACUGUACCACCGACGAAGAGCCACGAUCAUAGAAAUCGUGAUGAUUGUUUUACGAUGGAAAUCUUUCUUCUGGGAAAGCCAAAAAUUAUGCAGUUAUAAUUCUAAAUGAUAACUUUACAAGGAACUUUGUCUGGAAUUAGAAGCGUACAAUCUUCUUACUCUGCAUCCUCAAGAAAAUAGCGAAACCUGCAUCAACUUUACAUACAACCACAUUACACCGGCUGCUAGGAUUUAGAACAUCAUAACAGCGCGGCUGCUUACAUGAAGCAAGCUAUUUUUAAACUAUAUACAUGUUUUUACACAGACUAUGGAUAUGCAGUUCUAUAAGUGCUUUAUUUCAGUGCCUGCAUUACCAUCAGGGCUCUUUAUCGACUUCCAGGAACUCUAAUCGCAUACGGCUGCAAGGAUUUGAACAUGCAUAAUUGCUACAUGUACAAGAAUUGGCUUUCGUUAGCACUGGGCCGUGCACACUUGCCGCGUGCACGCAGGUCGUCACGUUUCACGUCCGCAGUCGUGUAUGGUGCGGUCUUCGAUCGUUUCUGGAUUGCCAGCGUGGCGUAGGAUCUUCAUUAAACAAAUAAUUCAGAACUUCUUAAGUGCAUAUCAUGUAAGACUGUUAGCACAAAACUGUCACGUUUAAUCAUGCUAUUAUGGUUAGUCAAAGUUUAAGCUGUAAACUUUCAUCUAGAUGGCUAUUACUUUCGGAGCACGUCCAUCUAUCAACUGCACAACCCUACUGAUACCGCUCCUCAGUUUUUGGGGGUUCUUAAUUUAUAUCGUAAACGGAGAAUUUUAUAUAAUCAUCUGUGUGUCAUGGCGAAGCAAGCAAGACAAGGCAACGGAUCCAAAUGCAAUGGUUUAUUUCUUAAAAACCCAAAAGUCCACAAAGCAGAACCAGAAUGAAGACCAGAAUACAGGACCAAAAAGUGAUGACAGCAAACUAUACUCAAGAAAGGACAACUGAAACACAAGGACUGUAUUCAUGUGGGUAAACAAGAUAUCAAGACACACCUGGGAAACAAUCUAGAACAAGGACCAACGAACUACAGACAUGGAUGACAUUAAAGAACUUCAAAUAAAGAGUACAAGACAGGGGAAACGCAAGACACAACAGUGACACCGUGCAAUCUUUAGCAUCAGUCAGAUCGUUUGUAACCUCUAAUCUUCUCCCUACUUUUAUAAUGACAAUAUAAAAGCAUGCAUACAUAAAUUGUCUCUCUUCAUCAGGAGCCGCGCUCCUAAUUUCACCGUAUGCAGGAAAACACUAUGACAUUCAAUUCAAUAAUGGCAAGCAAUAAUCAAGCCUAACGUGGCAUCCUUCUACGGAUAUCCUCUACUGCUGAUAUUAUGAUUGACAUUUACGGACACGUUUAUGGUAUGUACCUUUUGUCAAUACUGGUGGUGGUGAAUCUUAUUGCAAGCUAACCUGUUGGCUUUUCCUACUGGGCAUAUCGUUGCCUUCCACGGCCUAUGCGGCCUAUCUAACCCUGGCAUAUCUUUGCCCUUCAUGGCCUACACAGCCUCUCUCAACACGGCAUAUCGUUGCCUUCUAUGGCCAUGCGGCCUUUCUCACUCGGCAUAUCGUUGCCUUCUAUGGCCUACGCGGCCUAUCUCUAUCUGGCAUAUCGUUGCCUUCUAUGGCCUACGCGGCCUAUCUCUAUCUGGCAUAUAUCUCUAUCUGGCAUAUCGUUGCCUUCUAUGGCCUACGCGGCCUAUUUCUCUGGCAUAUCGUUGCCUUCCAAAGGCCUACGUGGCCUUUUCUCACUAGGCAUAUCGUUGCUUUCUAUGGCCUACGCGGCCUAUCUCUGUCUGGCAUAUCGUUGCCUUCUAAAGCCUACGCGGCAUUUUCCCAUUAGGCAUAUCGUUGCCUUCUGUGGCCUGUGCGGCCUAUCUCUGUCUGGCAUAUCGUUGCCUUCUAAAGCCUAUGUGGCUUUUUCCCACUAGGCAUAUCGUUGCCUUCUACGGCCCAUGCGGCCUAUCUCUCCAGCCUAUCUCUCUGGGGCAUAUCGCUGCCUUCUAUGGCCUAAGCGGUAAUCCCAUGGCCUCUUAUGGCAUCCUUCAAUGUCAGUAGAUAACAAUUUCUCUUAUCUGUUUCAGGAACCUCAAAGAAACACUGGUGGGUACCGAUCAUUGCGAUCAAUUUUUGGGGAUUAGAUUCUGGCCCGUCUUCAUCUUCAGACAGGAACCGCAAGAAUCCGUGACCCCCGGAUUUGAACUAUGGUCGGGGCCUACGCCAAAGAACUAUACUGUGUUACAUUCUAACCUUGGUUGCUAACUACUGUUAAAUAAACUCAUAUGUCAAGUCUUAACCUAUCUUCGAGUCUUUCUGGUAGAAAUGGUAGCUUUAGCGUAGCGUAGCGUAAGUUCUACCAGGAAACUCGAAUGUUACGUCAUUCAUGUCACAAGGCGCAAUCAAUCACCCCUGAUACUGAGAGUAUAUAAGCCUCGUACUCACCUGUCUUUGCGUUCGCAGAUACUGAUGCCAGCAUUAACAACCCACCCUCCCUACCACCAUCACCAGGUCGGUUCCGUCCAUACUCAAGGGGGAUUAGAUUCUGGCCCGUCUUCAUCUUCAGACAGGAACCGCAAGAAUCCGUGACCCCCGGAUUUGAACUAUGGUCGGGGCCUACGCCAAAGAACUAUACUGUGUUACAUUCUAACCUUGGUUGCUAACUACUGUUAAAUAAACUCAUAUGUCAAGUCUUAACCUA